AUUGAACGCUGGCGGCAGGCCUAACACAUGCAAGUCGAAUGGUAACAGGAAACAGCUUGCUGUUUCGCUGACGAGUGGCGGACGGGUGAGUAAUGUCUGGGAAACUGCCUGAUGGAGGGGGAUAACUACUGGAAACGGUAGCUAAUACCGCAUAACGUCGCAAGCCCAAAGAGGGGGACCUUCGGGCCUCUUGCCAUCAGAUGUGCCCAGAUGGGAUUAGCUAGUAGGGGGGGUAACGGCUCACCUAGGCGACGAUCCCUAGCUGGUCUGAGAGGAUGACCAGCCACACUGGAACUGAGAAACGGUCCAGACUCCUACGGGAGGAAGCAGUGGGGAAUAUUGGACAAUGGGCGCAAGCCUGAUGCAGCCAUGCCGCGUGUAUGAAGAAGGCCUUCGGGUGGUAAAGUACUUUCAGCGGGGAGGAAGGGAGUAAAGUUAAUACCUUUGCUCAUUGACGUUACCCGCAGAAGAAGCACCGGCUAACUCCGUG
rnacentral:rRNA from 1 species